CCUCCUACUCCGCUGCCAGGGAGGUGCCAUCUUUGCCCUUUUUCCCUCUCUGGACGCAGGCCUUCUGUUUUUUCUCUUGAGUCAGCAUAAACCACCACUUUUCCAAUGGAUAAGCCUAGAAAUCCUUUCAAAAAAUGGAAAGCAGUUGGAACAGAUAACAUAAAGUUUUUCCUUUGCACAUUGGAUAAGAAACGGGUUCAUGCUGCAACUGAUAAGACAUCAGAUGAAGGAACAGCUAUAUACUAUAUCAGCAGAAAAUUCAUUGAAGAUUAUCCAAUGGUGAUGCAGUACACAGGUGAACCAUCUCUACACUCUUUCACUUCCGUCACACGGUGGAUGCAAAACAUCAUUGAUAUCAGUUCAGAGGCUUUUGCAAACACAGAAAUAGCUGAUCAAGAGGUUCCCCAAAUACCAGAAGGAAGACCAUGGUGUCACGUUUUCUUUUGCUCAAACAGAGAAAAGUAGGUUAAG